GGGUUACCCAACAUUUUCUGGUUCAGAUUUUUCGGAAUGUAUCCUAUUUUGGCCAAACUAGAAGAAUUCUCCAAGUUAAUUCUAUUUUCAGUUUGGUUAGUUUAGCCUUAAAUUUGUAAUUCACUCUGAAACUCAUCAUUACUGAAAACUGGAGAAUUUUAAGUGUGGAAAAUUCUUGAUACAUCCCCUCCAUCACAGACCAGAAUAAGAGGCUCUUGAAUGGUGAAGCAUUUUCCGGAUUAGAAAAGAGUAUGCUACAACUACAAAUCAAUCUUGAAGUUCUGUAUCAAUAAAUUGAAUACUAAUGUGUGUAUAAGUACAUUACAGAGCUCCAUAACUAAACUCAGUGAUGCCAUGAGCAGAUUUUGCAAAGCGCAGUAUUUGCAUGUAUACAGUGCCAACAGAUUUUGCAGUGCAUUACAGUUUUAUUGGGGACUAUAAAGCAUAAGAAAAUUGAUAGACUCAGCAUACAGUCAGGGUCAACAAAUAACCUAGAUCACUGUCCUGUCCUUGUGGUUCACUUGUGUUAAACUGUUGCUGCAAAGCAAGGCUUGACAGAGAAUGCAAAAUAGAGAUGGUAAUAAAUAUUCAUAAACACAAUAACUACAAAUAGAAAAGUCCUGCGCUCACUCCCAUCACUCCUGGGCGGCAGCAACGACCACAGUACACAUCAGCUCCAAUACAUAUAGUAAAAACCAAAGGAAAAAAGUUACCUGCGCUCUCUCCUUAAUACCUAUGUAUAUUUAAACAAAUGGAGGUAAUUUAGUACAAUAACUGGUCAUUGAGAUAUUAUACAUGCAUCUAUCUGGUGACCUGGUAACACUCAAUCCCUAGCUCCUCCUGCCCUCCAGUAUUUCUAUCAAUCCUGGUAGGGGACACUUUCCAAAGCAGAGCAUAGCUCUCCUGUUGCUGACCUGUUGGUUUAUUGCCAGUCACUCCGUUCCUAUAAUCCGCAGAUCGCACAAUACAAUUUAAUUUGAAUAAUCUUCGCAGGUACAGCAAAAUACCUACUUGUAGGGUUCUCCUGCUUCUCUCAUGUCAUUCAAACUUUGGCAUAGAAGCUUUUCAGAAGAUUGACAGGUGUGUUUAUAUGACCUAUCCCUUUGCUGUAUUCCUUUUUGUCAAAGGUAUCUACUGUUAGUAUAAAAUAUCUGCAACACUGUUAAAGUCACUGUAUGAAAAAUAUAUAAAAAAGAAUAACUUCAACCUCAAGUCAUUGUUAGCUCCUGCUCAAUAUCUGUGAUGAUCCUAAGCAUUAACUUAUCUUUGUGUCCAUGCGACAAUGUAUAAUGAAUUAUGGUGCCGAUGACGCCCAGUGGAGCAGAGCAAAAGACAGAUGUUGGAGCUGUCUUGUAAAUAUCUUAUGGCACCGUGGAAAUAAAGCAUUGAAAUACAAUUUAUAUUUAUUUCUUCCUACCUAAUAAAUAACAUGGUUGUUCUGUAAGAAAUCUUGGUUUCUAUGUUGUAGACCAUUUUUAAUGGAUACUGGCCAAAAAUCCUUUUUGUAAAGGAUGAUCUUAUCUUGCAGCAUGUAUCAUCUGUACGGAUCUCUCUGCACUCCUUUCUCUGUGUCUGGAUUUUCUCAAAAUGUUUAGAACAAAAUAAAAAGCGGGUUAGAGCCAAA